ensembl:lncRNA LINC00937 long intergenic non-protein coding RNA 937
CAGGCAGGAGACAGCGACUGCUUGGUCCGGGGCAGGUGAGCGCAGCGCAGGCCAGGGCCCUACCUGUCCACGGUGCGCGCGAGCGGCCAGCAGAGGGCGCCAGAGGACCACGAGCGGCCCGCGGAGGAGUCCGCGCCGGCCCCGAUGCCCAGCUCCGCGCCGCGCGGACCCACCGAGCCCGCGCUCAGACGCCCCAGCUCCGCCGAGAGGCCGCUCGCUCCGGGUCCUUCCUCUUCCCCAGGUGCAGGCAGAGCCCCCGGGGCCAUGGCCAGCCCUUCCGGCAGCUCCGAAGCCCCUGGCAAGCCCCGAGGCAGGGAUGGCCGGCCCAGGAGGGAGGAGGACGACGUCCCUCCCGAAGAGAAGAGGCUGCGGCUCUUGCUGGAGGGGGGAAGCGCACAGCCCCAGGACUGCGAGGACGGGCAGGACGCGCCGCGGUCGGCCAGGAAGGAGACCGGCACCCAGACAGGUGGCGACGGCAGAGGAAUAACUUCACUCUUCUCUGCAACGAAUCCCAAAAGUAUAUAAUUGAGCUGACUGCAAGGUACUUGACACGCAAGAGACUCCACAAAUGGGAUUCAGCCUCUGGAAAGUGGUGGUAGUUCCAGAUUUAUGUGGAUGUUACUUUGUUUUUCCCUAUAAAAUAUAUUAUUUAAACUAUCAAA